UACGGAGGGGGCGAGCGUUAUUCGGAAUUAUUGGGCGUAAAGGGCGCGUAGGCGGCCUUGUAAGUCAAAGGUGAAAUCCCUCGGCUCAACUGAGGAACUGCCUUUGAAACUGCAAGGCUUGAGGCCGGGAGGGGGUAGCGGAAUUCCCAAUGUAGCGGUGAAAUGCGUAGAUAUUGGGAGGAACACCAGUGGCGAAGGCGGCUACCUGGACCGGUACUGACGCUGAGGCGCGAAAGCCAGGGGAGCAAACGGG
rnacentral:rRNA from 1 species